rnacentral:lncRNA from 1 species
CUUUAUCCAAAGAAAAUCUUGGAUGUGGGAAAGAGAAAGAAUAUGGCUGUUGAAAUUAGAGAGGGUAGAGAAUCUUCUUGUUCUCGUACCUUUCACAUAGGGAUUCCGGGACUAUAUAUAGCUAUGUAAUUUGGAAUCACCUAAGAGUUAUGCUGUAAUGGAUUGGGGCCAUGCAAUAACUUCUGAGGUAUGUACUAUAACAAUCCAAGAUCAUAUUGUUACUGCCUUAGAAUACAAUAAAAUCACCUAAAGCCAGACUAUGGCUGCCUAGCACAUAUUGUAACCA